UACGAAGGGGGCUAGCGUUGCUCGGAAUCACUGGGCGUAAAGCGCACGUAGGCGGCUUACUAAGUCAGGGGUGAAAUCCUGGAGCUCAACUCCAGAACUGCCUUUGAUACUGGUAGGCUUGAGUCCGGGAGAGGUGAGUGGAACUGCGAGUGUAGAGGUGAAAUUCGUAGAUAUUCGCAAGAACACCAGUGGCGAAGGCGGCUCACUGGCCCGGUACUGACGCUGAGGAGCGAAAGCCAGGGGAGCAAACGGG
rnacentral:rRNA from 1 species